ACCACCGGAAGCCCUCUCUCUUCGUUCGAAUCGCACCACCGAAAGCCCUCUUCUCCGUUCGUUUUGCUUCACUGAUGUGGCACCACCGAAAGCACUCUUCUCCAUCCAUUUCGCACUAGAAAACAUUCCCAAACAAAUGGAGCAUUAUAGGAGGGGCAAAAAAGGAGAAGAAGAAAGCCACAGAUGCACCUUACAGCAAGUGGCAGUGCCAGAUCAUGUAUUAUUGGUAUAAGAAGGUUAAAGCCAUGCCAGGUUCUGAUAUGGGAGGAUUCACUAGGGUUUUGCAUUCAGGAAAUCCAGACAAUUUGAUGGAGGAGAUUCCAACUUUUGUGGUUGACCCUUUUCCAGACGGGCUGGACUGGGUAAGAGUCUUUUUUUUGUCAGUACUUAGGACUUGCUAUUCUACAUUCUGUAGUUUUUUUAGUAACUGUUAUUACUUUUUUUAGAUGUGGUUUGAAUUUUAUAAGUUCAAAAUGAAAUGAGCCCGAUUUUAAAUGCUUCCAGUGAGUUUUUGUUUAUAUGGAGAUGAUGUUAUUGCUUUUUAGUGGUCUUAUAUGGUGUUUUUGGUUAACGGAAAUACUAGGUUGUGGUACCUAGAAUCUCAAACUAAUUUAGAUUGGGCCUUUUCCUGUGUUCUCUUUUUCUCAUCCACAACCUCAUAACUAAAAAUAUUUCUUUGGGAUAUAGUUUUUAUUGAAACUCAAAAGCACUUUUAAUAACUCUGUAAUUUAAAGAUUUUAAGGGAUAUACCAAUUGAAUUCUAGAUUGAAAUUUGAGAGAUCUCACACUUCUUGAAAUGAUUAGCUAUAAAAGAUCUCUACUUCUUUCACUCAAAUGGGUGUCCAACCAAACUGAAUAGGACAUACAAUUUUAUAAAUUUUGUCCAUCCAGCAAACAAUAUUUGAUUUGCAGAUCCAUAAUGGGGGGUAAGGUUGUAUAUCCAGACCCUACUUUAGUGGGAGUUUUGUACACUGGGUUCAUCCAUAAUGUGAGAUCAUCCAGCAUCACAUUUGAAUUACUUUAUAUAUAUAUAUAUAUAUAUAU